UACGAAGGGGGCUAGCGUUGUUCGGAAUUACUGGGCGUAAAGCGCACGUAGGCGGACUAUUAAGUCAGGGGUGAAAUCCCGGGGCUCAACCCCGGAACUGCCUUUGAUACUGGUAGUCUCGAGUCCGGAAGAGGUGAGUGGAAUUCCAGGUGUAGCGGUGAAAUGCGUAGAUAUCUGGAGGAAUACCGGUGGCGAAGGCGGCAUCCUGGACCUUACUGACGCUGAG
rnacentral:rRNA from 1 species